GAUUUCUGGCACGAUGUACCUGUCCCGCUGCGGUCAACGCAUGUGAGUGACGGAGUAUGUUUGCCAUCCUUCUAGAGAGCGCAAGCUAUCCUUUACUGGACCGGUUUGUGUCAUCUAGAUCUUUUACUUUGAAAAAAUUAGAGUGUUUCAAGCAGGCGUUUUGCUAUGAAUACAUUAGCAUGGAAUAAUAAUUUAGGACUUUGGCCCUAUUUUGUUGGUUUCUAGGACUGAAGUAAUGAUUGAUAGGGAUAGUUGGGGGUGCUCGAAUUCAGCGGCCAGAGGUGAAAUUCUUGGAUUCGCUGAAGACGAACUCAUGCGAAAGCAUU
rnacentral:rRNA from 1 species